rnacentral:lncRNA from 1 species
CCCUCCUCUCCAACUGUUCCUACCCUGCACCGAAGCCCGGCUUUGGGAGCUGCGGGCCACACCCGGAGACACCGGCGGCCGGAGAGGGCCAAGAACUCAGGCUUCUCCGACGCUACAGGUCUUCUUAAUUCUGCGGAAGGGACUUAGGACUCCUACUCACCGCGGUGGGUGCGGACUCAGGAAGGGUUAGUUGUAGACAGUUUGCGGGCGGCGUCCCGCUUCUUUCGCGCGCAAAGUCUCCGGGCGGCCCCGCGUGGUUAGAAACGCGGCGUGCGCAGGUUGGCGGAAGGGGGCGCAAGGCGCACGGCCGCCAGAGGGGCUCGAUCAGCGAGAAGAGUUGAAGGCUCAGCGAGCGCUGGCAGAUCAGAGCGCACGGGGUGGUGGUGGGAGUCAGUACACUCAGGGAUUGGGGGGGGGGGGUGCGGUGCGCACGGAGGGGGCGCACUGUACGCGGAGCGGGAGGUGCAAGAGCGCGCGGGGGCGCAGUGUACUAGCGGGUGGGCCUCGGUUCGCCCGGGGGCGGGGGGCGCGCGGCGCGCUGGGGCGCGUGCGGUUUUGUGUGCCGGGAGGUGUGCGUGACGCUCCCGUGCCUGCUUGAGGCAGUCAAGACAUCAUCCCCGCCCUGGCACCGGCAGCGGGUGCACACUUCCACCCUACCCACUCGGGUUGCUCGGCCUCCGCUCUGUCCCUCCCUCCUCCCAGAUUCUUUCCACGCGAGAAGUGAGGACCAGAGGGAGAUGGGGCGCACGGGAGGCCUGCGGGAGAGGACAGACCCGGUGCCGUUGGGUGAGGGAUGUCUGGUGGGAAUUAAAGGCUGGUGCUUUCAUCUGGGCCUCUCCAAAGCCCCGCAGACCGCUCCCAGCUCCCGCGCGUUUAGUCCGGCUCCGGAGUCAAAUUCUCUUGCCGGGGGCACAGCCUUGUUGGUGGGAGGCCCCCCGUGGUCCGGGACUGGUGACCUCCACUGUCGCUUGCCCUCGUUUAACUGCCCCAAGACAGAAUUCCUUUUAGAUGCUAGAGAAGAAUCUUCUGGAGGAGAAGGCACGGGGUAAAACACGUUUUCGUAUAAAACUAGUGACUAAAAAUUAGCAAUUUUUCUCAAUCCAAGAAUAUUUUCCCUGGCAAAAGCAUCGGUUAGCUGAUAAACUAGCUACAAGGUAGAUUCAAAUUGUGUGGCUGGUGAAUAUUUUUAACCGCCAACUCCAGCACUGGCUUCGUUUUUUAGAGGGCAGAAACAAGCUAAUCCUGGUUAUUGCGCUAAUGCUCUUUUCGCCAGGCGGAUGUGGACAAAGACAUUUAAUCUUACUGUGGAAUACUCUGUGCCUCUCUCUCUCUCUCUCUCUCUCUCUCACACACACACACACACACACACAUGCACACACACACACACACACACACACACACACAAGAUUUUGAACCAAGCGGGUGAGCCCUUGGGCACCUUCCGUGCUGGCUGUGCAGAUUUGCACAUUCUGGGGUCACUUCUCCUGGUUUCCUUCAUUAUGAGAGGGGUGGUCAGGGUGCCUGUGUGACUCAGUGGAAUUGUGCAGGUGCUACUCUGCUCCCAAGGUCAAGGCCAAUUAAACCGGUUAAUCACGGUGGUGUGAGAGACCUAGUUUCAACUUUGCUUUAAUUUUGUCUAUUUUUUUUUUUUUUAAUGUAAGCUCUUUGCCCAAGGUGGGGCUUGAACUCAGGACACCAAGAUCAAAAGUUCCGUGCUCUACCAACUCAGCCAGGCGGGUGUCCACUCAAUCUUCCUGUUAAUUUUGGAGAAGCUCUACCAAUCACCCGCCCCUGUCCCGGGCAUGGGGGUGGGGACGAGAGAGGUGGAUACUUGGAAGAGUUUGUUGAGAAAUCUAACUUUUGAAUAAGUGCAAGCAAGUACGGGGUAAGGAAGGGCCCAGAGGCGAAUGGCAACGGCAGGGUUGGAUCAUGGUAGUCGAUGACUCGCUUAGCGAGGCCACAGGCACCGUUUUCCACUUGUUCGGGAAGCGUCAGCACUGCAGGGGCACAAGUGACGGCCCCAACCCCCCUUUAAGCACUUUAAACAAGGGAGUGGACACUGCAAAGCUCAUAUGCGACUGGGUUUUACUUCCUGGGUAGUUGGGAGGCCAGGGAGGGAAAAGAUCCACGCCGUUAUUAACCAUGCACAAAUAAUCUUCGUGUUUAUUGAAGCCUACUUAAGAUAACUGACCAGAAAGCACCUCCCUGUUUCAGCAACAUCAAGGGUGCUCCACUGAAAGCUAAUGAGUUUGUAUUUCUGUUUAGCCUGAUGUCUACACCACGGUUUUGGAGAAGCUGUCAACUCUGACAAACGAAGGAGCUGAAGGAAGCCAGGGGAGCCGCACCUGCCAACACCGCUGAAGCCCCGGGGCCGACCCCUCCCUGUCUGUUCUUUAAAGGUGCUUGGACUUUACUUGAUCCUUUGAGGUCCAGCAGUUGGACUAUCUGAGCGUAAGUUCCCGAAAUGGAAAUUCGCACUCACUAUCUUGCACAAAUAUUUUAAUUUCUGAAUGGCCUGGACUGAGAGCCAGGGGGCAAGGGUCCUUUGUGCCAUAGCCAUUGCGAAUCCUGAAAAAGCUGCAACCCUUCAGCUGAGCGUGGAAAGACAAUGCUUUAGACACCCAGAGAAAAUUCCCAGCUAGAAAGAAAAAGAGGAAAAAGCUCCAAGUGUAGUUAGAAAACUCAUAUUUGUACAAAAAUCCUUUGAGCCUUAUUUGACAGCGAAUGUCUUUUUCCAGUUUUGUUUGUUCUUGAAUCUCUCAGCAACCUUUUGCCUGCAUGACUCUUGAGAUUCGUUCCCAGCAAAGGUGACUGAUGGAUCUUUUAGGAAUUCAUGCUUUCAAGUUGAUUUUCCGUGUUGGUCAUCGAAGCUGCUUCACUUUAGAUACUUUAUGGGAUGUUCAUGAAGGGAACUGGGGGGUGAGAUUUCUCAGAGUGUCUCUAAAGACAUUAUUCAUAAUUAAAACAAAUGAUGAAUGGAAAUCACCAGAAAAAUUAUGGCAAGUAAUGUUCAAACAUGUUUUCAGGCCAUGUGGAAUAAAUAAAAUCAUUAAGGGCUGGCUGGGUAAUGUGACCUCCCAGCUUUAUUCUGUGCCCGGAUGACCUGAUAGAGAUUCGUAGAUGUGACAGAAGCAUCUGGGAUGGGAGCCAAAGAACAUCAGUGCUUUCUCCAGGUAUUUUGUGUAUUGAUAAUGAAAGUUAGAAUUCCAUUUCUUCCAAGACCCCGUGCACAGUACAAUCCUAGAGGCGGGUAAGAUAGCACGAAAAGGAAAAUCUUAAAUCUUAAGAUUAUCUUCAAUCUUAAAAUAAUCUUAAAUAAUCUUAGAUUGUUUUUUAGGGGAAAUAAAGACUGGAAAGCCCAUGUGAUAGAGUCUGAAAGACAGAAUGAACCUAUUAGAACUUAGACCCACCUGGUGAUAGAUCAGUUGGUGUUCAACAGGUUUUUCGGCCCCUCAGUGGUGAAUUUCCCAAAACAGACCAUCUUGUUAUGAAACUUAGCUGUGCCGGGAAAAGCAGUAGACAGAGGUCCCAAGGUUUUAGAAUUACAAACCUUUUAAGGUGGUAGUUAUGUGGGUACAGCCACUUUCUGAUAGCAAAGUAGAGCAGGGCCUGUGAAGGCUGUUGAGUGGCCUGCACUGGGUUUAAAAAAAAUUUUUUUUAACCUUUUGAUUUAUUUUUGAGAGACAGAGACAGAGCGUGAGCAGGGGAGGGGCAGAGAGAGGGAGACACAGAAUAAGAAGCAGGCUUCAGGCUCGGAGCUGUCAGCGCAGAGCCUGACAUGGGGCUCGACCUGAGCUGAAGUCGGAUGGUCAACUGACUGAGCUGCCCAGGCGCCCCUGGCCUGCACCAGUUUAAUGCAGCUUCCGAAAGUAUUGGGUUUACAGUCUAACUUACUUGGAGCAUUGGUGGACCGGGCCGGUAUAUGUCCAUUUCUAAUGUUCCUAUGGAGAAUCAGCAUUUAAUAGGACAGUUAACUUAAAUUGGUUAACUUAAAUUGCAUUAAAUAAUGCAAACCAAAGAAGCAGUUGCCCUUCCUAAGAAAUGGUCCCAUUUUGGGGAGCCUGGGUGGCGCAGUCGGUUAAGCGUCCGACUUCAGUCAGGUCACGAUCUCGCGGUCCGUGAGUUCGAGCCCCGCGUCGGGCUCUGUGCUGACUGCUCAGAGCCUGGAGCCUGUUUCUGAUUCUGUGUCUCCCUCUCUCUCUGCCCCUCCCCCGUUCAUGCUCUGUCUCUCUCUGUCCCAAAAAUAAAUAAACGUUGAAAAAAAAAAUUAAAAAAAAAAAAAAAAGAAAUGGUCCCAUUUACAUACCUGAAAAAAUAGAUACAAUUUCCAGAGCCAUUGUGGUUGCCCAGAUGCGCUGUAGUGUGGCUUACUCAGAUCAUUAUAUAUAUACAUAUAUAUACAUAUAUAUCUUACUUACAUAUGCAUAUAUAUACAUGUGUGUGUGUGUAUAUAUAUAUAUAUAUAUAUAUAUAUUUUUUUUUUUUUUUUUUUUUUUUUUUUUAAGCUCUACACCCAACCUGGGGCUUGAACUAACAACCCCGAGAUCAAGAGUUGCAUGCUCUACCGACUGAGCCAUCCAGGCACCGUCUUAGGUCAUUUUAGACUCUUCACAGUCAACUAAGUCAUGGGCCCAUGUGGUGAGUCAGUGUGAGGGUGGCUGGAACACAGGGAUCAAGGGCAGUGUGUUCCCAGGCACUCAUUAUUCAUUGCAGUCUAGAGCUGGACUGACUUAGAAGCAGCUUGUACUUUACCCAACAAAAGGAAUGCAGUUCUUUGAAUUGGGGAGCCCUCACGCACUCCUGCUUGCACACAAGCUGUUACUCAUUCAGGAAACAUCCAUCCGGUGGCCCAGAGUGCCAGGCACCUAGCCAGACAUUUGCAUGAUAAAAGUGAGUUCCUGCCUUUGAGGCCAUUCUCAGUCCUGAUAAUGCUUUGAUUGAGAAUCUGACCUGCUAAUGUGUGCCUUAGAAAUGUCCCUGGGUUUUGAGCCAUUGAUUCCAUUUCUGAUUAUUUGUGCUAUGGAAAGCAUUUCCAAAAUGAAAAAGGCCUUUUCUCAUGAGUAUUUGUGUAAUGGUUAAGGGUGCAGGCAUGGUGUCACGUGUGGAUUUGACUCCUCUUUACCCCCCUCAGUUUUGUUAUCUGUACAAUGGGGAUAAUAGCUACCUCAUAAGGAGAUUAUGAGUUUUGACUAAAAAAUGAAUGACGUGUAUAGUGAGUGUAAAGGGCCUAACGCAUUACCUGGGAGAGGUGCCCCAGUGAAUAUGUUUUUGGUGUGUGUGUGUGUGUGUGUGUGUGUGUGUGUGUGUCAGUGUUAGCAUGGGACCCAAGAGCGCUGUGCUGAGGCCAACACUUCCAGUGAUGGUGUUUUCAUCCUAGGCUGGAAGCUAAUGCUGGAUUCAGCCAGCCCGUCCUGCAGUCUUUCCUGAAGUACUUCCCGUAGUUUGGAAGCACCAGAGUUCCUCCAUUAAAUCUCUUUCUGCCCCCGUCCCCCCAAAAAGACAAUUUGUUAUCGGCCACUAAACCAAUCUGUUAUCGACAACUAAAUCCUGACCGGCAUGUGUUGGAAAGUGUGCCAAUACUAUGAAAUGUUGUAUGAUCACCAGCAAAACAACAGAACUACAGAGAGAGAGACCAGAUAUCCCUUCAAGUGUUGGUGGUGAGUAUAUUUGGGUAGGAAGACAAUGAAUGAUCUUUCGGUGUACUUUUUGUUGCCUUCCUUUUUUAAACAGCAGCUUUACUGAGAUC